rnacentral:rRNA from 1 species
GUAGGGAAUAUUGGACAAUGGGCGCAAGCCUGACGCAGCCAUGCCGCGUGAAUGAUGAAGGUCUUAGGAUUGUAAAAUUCUUUCACCGGGGACGAUAAUGACGGUACCCGGAGAAGAAGCCCCGGCUAACUUCGUGCCAGCAGCCGCGGUAAUACGAAGGGGGCUAGCGUUGCUCGGAAUUACUGGGCGUAAAGGGCGCGUAGGCGGACAGUUUAGUCAGAGGUGAAAGCCCAGGGCUCAACCUUGGAAUUGCCUUUGAUACUGGCUGUCUUGAGUACGGGAGAGGUGAGUGGAACUCCGAGUGUAGAGGUGAAAUUCGUAGAUAUUCGGAAGAACACCAGUGGCGAAGGCGACUCACUGGCCCGUUACUGACGCUGAGGCGCGAAAGCGUGGGGAGCAAACAGGAUUAGAAACCCUUGUAGUCC